rnacentral:rRNA from 1 species
AGGGUUCGAUUCUGGCUCAGGACGAACGCUGGCGGCGCGCCUAACACAUGCAAGUCGAACGGAGCAUUGAGAGCUUGCUUUUAAUGCUUAGUGGCGAACGGGUGAGUAACGCGUGAGUAACCUGCCCUGGAGUGGGGGACAACAGUUGGAAACGACUGCUAAUACCGCAUAAGCCCACGAUCCGGCAUCGGAUUGAGGGAAAAGGAUUUAUUCGCUUCAGGAUGGACUCGCGUCCAAUUAGCUAGUUGGUGAGGUAACGGCCCACCAAGGCGACGAUUGGUAGCCGGACUGAGAGGUUGAACGGCCACAUUGGGACUGAGACACGGCCCAG